rfam:Myotis brandtii contig187229, whole genome shotgun sequence.
AGUGUGUCCUUUCCCUGCUGCCUUAGCUCCGGGUAAAUAUUGAUUUGCCCCCAGUUUACCUCCUCCCUGACUGUCCAGUUGCACACUAAAACACCGGCCUCUGUAGGGACCUGAUUUUUGUGUGACUUUCCGGGGCCUGUUUCCCCACUUCCUUCCUCCAAGCGGCAUAGUAAAACUCGAGGUGACAAAGAGGCAGGGUAGGGUUCAAGGCCCCAGUUCCUGACGACUUGAGGGCUAUUUUACAUACGGGUCAGACAGGGCUGGAGGCCAAGGUCAAGUUGAACGUUGCAGUCUAGCCAAUCUGAGAACUGCCAUGCAAGCCUGGAGACCCAGGCAGCUGUGAAAGGCCCACCGCCCAUCUCCCCUCA